CCCUUAGAUGUUCUGGGCCGCACGCGGGCUACACUGAUGCAUUCAACGAGUCUAAAACCUGCUCUGAUAGGGGUGGGUAAUCUUUUGAAUGUGCAUCGUGAUUGGGAUAGAUGAUUGCAAUUUUUCAUCUUCAACGAGGAAUGCCUAGUAAACGCAAGUCAUCAGCUUGCAUUGAUUACGUCCCUGCCCUUUGUACACACCGCCCGUCGCUCCUACCGAUUGAAUGAUCCGAUGAAUAUCAUGGAUUGAGGAUGCAAGUAGGUUCGCCUAUCUUCAUCUUCGAGAAGUGAAGUAAAUCUUAUCAUUUAGAGGAAGGAGAAGUCGUAACA
rnacentral:rRNA from 1 species